rnacentral:rRNA from 1 species
UACGGAGGGGGCUAGCGUUAUUCGGAAUUACUUGGCGUAAAGCGCACGUCGGCGGAUCUGCAAUUCAGAUGUGAAAUCCCAGGGCUCAACCUUGGAACUGCCUUUGAAACUGCGGGUCUUGAGUUCGAGAGAGGUGAGUGGAAUUCCGAGUGUAGAGGUGAAAUUCGUAGAUAUUCGGAGGAACACCAGUGGCGAAGGCGGCUCACUGGCUCGAUACUGACGCUGAGGUGCGAAAGCGUGGGGAGCAAACAGG